GGCGGCGGCUGGGCGGGGAGGGCCGAGACGUGGGGCUGGCGCCCUGUCCUCGUUCAGGAUGGGCCGCCGCUGUGUUUGCCCUGCGGUCUCUGUGCUUGGAGGUGGAGGUGGUCUGGCCCUCGCAGCGGUGGGAGCCGUGCGAGAGCACCAGUGAUCGGUUUGUGUGUUGGUCUUUCAGGUUUCAGCGUAAUGCUGUUGCCUUGGUAGGGCUGGGGCCAUAACCGAACCGGCAUUUUCAUUUUAAACCCCGUUUUUCAGUGGUUUAUGACUCACUCCCCUUCAGAUUAUUCGGUAACGUGACAGUAUGGACUAUGCUGGACAAGAAACACCUGUGUUGGCUGCACUGCCUGUGUUUAUAGCUUAGUUCCUACUGGGCAAACCCAAAUCCAUGUUCUGGGCUAUUAUUUUUAGCAGAAAGUUGUGUGUGAGUAACGGGGGAGCGGAGACUGCAAGCAGCGUUGUCCUGAUCCUGACCCCGGUGGGUUCCCUGGCAGAAAGCUCAGCAGAGUUUUUUCACAUUCAUCACUCAGGGGAUUGUGGUUUGUCCUAAAAACAAAACUCAGCAAGACUGGGCCCUCAGCAGGCAUCGCUUAGCAUUCAGUAACACCUGGCUGUUCAUCUAGCCCUCAUCAUCGGGUCUUCUCCAGUAACGUAGCUGUGUCUAUUAGGUGCAUGUGGUUUACACUGAAGUGUGUGUUUUGCAGUGGAGUGUUUUUAGCUUGGAAGGUGGUUUUGAGAUAUAUUUGAGAAGCCAUCAGAUACUUGUCAAAACAACAGUCUCUGCAUGUGACUUAGUAUUGAGACAGACUUAAUGUAGAUAGUAACUGUAGCUGUUUGUUUAGUAUUGAGACAGACUUAAUGUAGAUAGUAACUGUAGCUGUUUGUUUAGUACUGAGACAGACUUAAUGUAGAUAGUAACUGUAGCUGUUUGUUUUCUUAUGUAAUGGAUGCAAACCAAGAUGCAACAAUGUCUUUGGAGUUUUAUUUAGUUGUUGUUUGAUUAUCUUGAACUCUUAUCUGAGGGCACUGUAAAGCCAGUGCUUUCAGUUUUGCACUGUUCUUUGCAUUGCAGCAGUUUCUUGGGCUGCUGAAAGUGAUGGCUCUGACUCUAUUUUCUUUACUCACUUUCUGGCUAAGGCACAAUUCAGAUUUGGUUGAGGAGUUCAAAGCAAGAGUACAGGUUGUUGCAUUAUUUUUCUUGCCAGCAGAUGUCCUUGCAUCUUUCCUAAUAUGCAAAGAGGGAUCAGACUGUGGAGGGGAUCAAACUCCAGGAAGCCAACUUGCACCUAAGAAAAGUGACUCCAUCAAGACAUUACAACCAAAUGAAUUGCUAAUCUUUGAAGAGGUUACCUUAAUUGGUCUCUCCAGGUGAAGAGAGCCUUGACAAGGUAAAAUAAGGCAUGGUCAAAAAGGUGACUACACUGAAGGUCCCUGAGGCCUGUGCAUCGUAUGGGUCUGAUUUCAAAAUGUUGAAUCCAUGUUUAUAUUCCAGAGGGAAAAUAAUAGGGGGAAAAAACCCCAUAAGAUCUGGCUUGUUUUCUACUACCUUUUUUUUAAAGAUGUUACAGAUUUGUUGUAAUUAAAAUAUAUUGACUUUUUUAAAAAUUGUUUUUUGUGUGUUUUUGCAUGUGGGUAAUUAUUUAGCAACUCUUGUGUACUAUGAUUGGGCAAUCUAGAUUAAUAUAAUUUAAACUAAGUAUUUCUAUCAAACUUAAAUGGCCCUUUGACUGAUAAGACAUGUUAGAAAGUUAUUGUUGUGUAAAAGAUUUAUGUGUUAACUUUGGUACCUUUGGUACAUAGUUGUAGGAGGUAUUAGCUGUUGAAAUUAAGAAAUAUGAGCUCCUUGCUACAGUUGUCUUCAUGUUUUUGUGGUUUUUUGUCUUGUGUAUGUUGACUUUUCCCCUGUCUUUCAGCAGAUGAUGUUUGCCUUAAAAUGGAGUUCAGGAGAGCAAGGUAUCUGAACAAAUAGUUUUGGUUAAAAAGGGAGGAAAAGAGGAGAUACUAUAUGUUUUUGGAGAUAGUAAAACCAAAACAUUUUGAUAUGGGAGUUCUUAUUUUGCAAAUAAUCUAAAGUUUAAAGGGGAGAGGAAAAAAAGUCACAAAUUAAUAAUCUGGCCCAAAAUAAAGUCAUUUUGUUUCACUUUCUGUCUGCAUUUUGUUGCAUUUUGCUUUUCUGUUUUGCCUCCCCCCCCUCCCAUAUAUGUUCAGAACAACCUAAUUUUGACUUUUGAUUUGAGACCGAGUAAUCCAUUACUCUGCAGCUCUGCUUGCAUGUCCUUGCUUCAAAAGCCUUCUGGUUCUGUGGUUUUUAUCAUAAGCAUUGGAUAAUCCUAUUGUUAAAUGUUCUGAGUAGCAUCAGUCCUGAAAUCAUCAGUUCUUACUGAGCGCAGUUUUAUGGGGGAAGGCUUUGCCCUUUGUGUCCCACCUCUCCACUGAGACAUUAUAAUGGUGACCUUCCACCCACCAGCUGUGCCCCAUGAUCUAUGGUCUUGUGGACCAGCAAUGAUCUGUAACCACUGUAUUAUUGGCUGUUUGGUUGCAGUGUGAUAAGGCCUGCUUCUGACAAUUCGACAUUACCAAUUUCCCUUUCUAAGGUGAUAUUUAUAAUCACUUGGGUUAGUGAUGUAGCAAAAGCAUCUUGGUCAGAUGAUGUGGUAGCAUAACAUUGUAUUGGCCCAAACACCAUGUUCUGGGAGCGGAAAACAAGCUGAUGUGGCAGCAUGCAAGUGGGGAAGCAGUGUGAGAUCCGAGAGGUUUAGAAACACUACUUGUCCCUGUGAUUUUUUGUGAGAUUAUCAUGUGGUGCUACAUCAAGUCAGAUCAGGGAGUUCUGGCAUGCAGCAUGUUCCUAUUAGAAAUAAUAGUAAUAUGAUGAUCAGGCUGUGGAACUGUAGAGGCUAGUGUCAAAAAUAGAAAAAAGAUUUCUAGGUGAUACUGGAUGUUAGAAGCGUUAGUACCAGUAGAAAGGUUGCUGGGAUGGAGGAUGUGGAGGACAUCUGCACCUAGGUGAGAUCCAGGUUUGCAACUGAAUUUAACAAAAGAUCUCUGGGCUGGAACAUCUCAGGAGCAUCCCUUUCUCUGGAGCCUGUGUGCACAUGGGGUCGAUGCAACAAAACAGAAUGGAAACUGAAACUCGCAGCAGGUCUCUUGGUCAUUGUCCUCUCCAACAGUUCACCUCUAGAGAAGGUGGAGGAAGGAGCAUUGGGAAUAGUCCCUGUUACUCUAGAGGAAAGCUAAAGUAGAUGCAUGUCCUUUCUCUUGCAAGUCAAGUUCUUGACACAACCCUGGAUCCAUGCUUUCAUUCAGCAGACCCAGUUUGAUGACGUCAAUGCAUUCUUCACAGCAGGAAAAAAAAUCAUUUUUCAAACAGACCGAGCAUUUCCUUAGACUGGAAAAGCAAAUUGGCUGGAUGCCUGGUGUCUCUCACAGCCAAUCGCUAUAACCUUACCAUAAAUGUAGAUGUGUUUCUAUCUUAGGGUUGAUUAUUUGACUUUGUUUUAGCCAUGGGACUGUCCUGUCCCAGUCCUCUGUGUGUGUGUGUGUGUGUGUGUGUGUGUGUGUACUCUACCCAUGAGUGCUGAGAUCCUGAAUGUUGCAUUAUUCAGCAAAUGUUUUGUACAUCUGCCUAGGUCACUUAAAAAUUUGAGUUUGUGACUUGAUAUAUUGUAAAUGCAUCUCUCUGAAAUGUUUUGUAGAUGCUGAGCUCUGUCUCCCAGCACUUGCAGCAGACAGCUUAGCUGCAGUGGCUGGCCUGUGGCACUCCCUUUCUUUUUUCAGGGUAGCUGCUCUUAGUCAUUCUGUGAGGAUGUUAUUAGUAAUACUAAGAUUGUGCUCCGUGGUUGCAAAACUUGGUGUAAAGCAGAUGCACUGCAAAAGCUUUUGAGAUAAUGUGCUUGGGAGACUAGAUUAUCCAGAGGUGAGCAAGGAGGGGUUUAACCCUGUUCCCUCAGGCACUGCCUGGACAGAGCCUGGCUGGUUUAGUCUGAGCAUUGUACUAGUUUCCUGCAACUGUGAGUUAAAUCCAAGGCUGAAUCUAGCAGUGAGGAUGAGGAAGGAAAGAUCUGUAUGGAAAUGUCCAGAGUUGAAAGGUAAAUGUUAUUUAAAUGAUGUCUUUGGUUUUGUUUUUAACCUUUGAUCUGAAGAUGGCAGUAAGAGGAACACCAGAUGGCUUUAUUUCAGAUGUAGACUAAGUUACACGGAAACUGCCGCCCUUCAAGUAAAAAAGCUCACAUAAUAUUUUUAAAGUUUACUAGGACAAAUUUUAUUAAAGGUAGGGCAGAGGGAAGAACCUAAAGGAAGCAUUUUGAAAGAUCUCUUAGCUCACUGCAGUUGGUCAGAAUUUAUGAAACUGUAUUAAAUACUAUGUCUUUUGGUAUUUAGUUCUACCACUUUUUGCUUUGUUCUGUCAUGCUACUGUAUUUAGGAUAUCAUCUAACAAGUGAGAUUAGCACACUUAGGUACAACAAGGCCUUGUGGCUGGGACUCUGAGCUCUCUUGUUUUUCUGAUAUCGCUUAACCUUUGAAAUUCUUUAGGGGGAGGAACAGCGAUGUGGAAAGUUUUAUCCCUCCUACAAACGUCUCAUGCAGUUCAGCAUCCUCCGACACGUUACACGCUCUUCUUCAAAGAGACAACAGGAUGCAAUGGUCUCACUCUGAAUGUGUGUCUCCCAGGCAGUGAUGUAUGCUUUUAACUAGGGCUUGUGCUUCAGGUAGAUACCAAGAACAAAAUUCUUCCAGACAGGGUUGUCGUGGUAGGGGCAAGAUUUGGAAGUCUCCUGGAGGGUGGUGGGGCUCUCGCUGUUACUUGCCGUUACUUGCCUUCACCUGCUCACCCACUUCUACCGCACAUCUGCACAAACGGACAUGAGGCCUGAGUAGAUCAUGCAGCUACAUAAGUGAGUCAUAUCUUCUCUGCAUAGUCAAGCUUUUAUGAAUAUAAAGCAAAUGAAAGGAGUAUGUAAUACAGGCUAAUUUAUAUUUCUAUCAAAAAGCAGCUGAUUGUUUUCUGUCAUUGGUUCUCAUCAGCAAUUAAACGAUGGGCUUGGAAAACUGUACGUCUCUGGGGUGGUCAUAACAAAAUGGGAUACACUAAUGUGUGCUUUCGAUGAAGCUGUCUGUUAAGUUCCCAGAUAAGAUGCUGGUGAUAUUUUUCAGCUGAAUCAUUUUUCACAUACUUGUUUGAAGCCAAGUAUUUCAGAAGAGGCAUCCUUUCCACCCUGCGUGGUAGCUGCCUCUCUCCUUCUCUCAGCCAGCUCAGCCUGUGUCUCUUGCAGGAGCUGGAGACAGGACAGGGAGCCAUAGAAGAAUAAACAGCAUUUAUGUUUCUUGGUCCCUGAGGUGGGCAGGAGAGAGUCUGGCACGAGUCUUUAACAGUUGCACCUUUCCCAUGCCUUUCUCUCUGUACUCCCCUACCCAGGGGUGCUCAGAAGCCCUGCAGACUGACGUAGCCUGGCGAGAGGACAACAGUUCCUCAGUUCUGCAUGAGCAAUGAAGGGGGUCUCAUAUCCCUUCACUAUAACAGUUAGCAUACUGAAAUUGUCUUACCUUUUUGAAGUAGAGGUCCUGGACUAGAUUCUCAGCUCUCGUUUGAAUCACUUCAGUGAGCCGGAACUUCACCGUUGAGGUCAAUGGUAAUUUUGCCGUUGACUUAAAGGAAGCUAAGAUUUCACUGCACGUGCACAAAGCGGAUGUAAAGAUAUUUUAUAUCAGUAACUGGGGACUUCCCUCCUCUGGGAGGCAGGGCUGGCCGCCAGCUCCUUCUCCCUCAGCCUAGCGAAGGGCGCCAAGCCUUCGCAGUUCUUCCCAUACACCAGGGCUUCGAACAUCGCAGCUGGGGUGCAGUGAGGGCCGUCGCUGCGUGGACCUUGUUCCCUUCUCUCCCAGCUACUGCUUCACAAUUCCUGAAUGACCUGGUACAAAACUCCACGUGUUGUUUCUUGUUCCGAGGGCCUACCUGGAAAACAGGAUCUGACCAAAAAAAAAAAAAAAAAAAAAAAAGAAAGUCUGCACAACAGUAACUAUAAAUUGUUAAAAUCAAGCUAAGGGGGAAGGUUUAGCCAUGAUGGAAACAGCGGCUUGUAUUACAUAAGCUAAGAAAAAACAAACAAAUGUUAGUCCUUUUUCCAAGUGUGGUUCUCUCCCUCUGACUCCCCACUCAUAUUUUGGAGAGGAGUGGGCUGUUUGCAGUUUAAGUGGCACUGAGAUUUUAGUUGUGCCAAUACUAUACCAACACUGCUUUAUUUAAAUGCCAUUCAGCAAGGAGAAUGUGUUUAUACUGAAGACCUGCUAAUUGCAUAAUGUUCUCCUUUUAUUAAACAGCAUGUUCAUGCUGUAUAAUGCAGACUGAUCAGAGCGUGGAAGAAAGAUUUGUGUUAUGUUGAAGAGGUCUGAGCAUUUGACCUUGUAAGUGAAGUCCCAGAGACAGCUAAAUAUAAUGCAGUAACAGGCGGUAAUUAGGAAGAUGAAAGAGAUGUGUGCAGUUCUGGUAGCCUAAUGUGGAAACUAUCCAGGCGUUUUCAAGAUGUUUGAGCAACAGUGUUUUGCAGAGGUGAAAGGAAUGAGGUAUAUUCAAGAAGUUAUUAGUGAGGAACUGAAAGGGAAACCUGGGAAGUACCUACAGGAAUGACAAAUGAAACCAUAAUUAUAAGACUGAGAUAUACAGAGCCUUGUAUUUUAUUUAGUGUUGUUACUGAUUUGCAUGGGGAACAGAACAUGAGCCAGCAGGCUUUAUGAUUUUCUACCUGUAUGUGCUUGGGAUACUACUGGAGUCCUGCAAAUGUCUGUGAAAGCAGGCAGAUGUUAACAUCAUCUAUGGAAUGGCAAGCUACGUGUGGCGAGAGCUGUAGCUGUCCCAGUCUCUGUAUAGACACUAUAUGUUUAUGUGCAAUACAGAACAAUAUCUGUCAUCUUAGAGCCUUGUUAAGAAAUGGAUCAAAAACCAAUCAAAGUCAGUGAAGCCUCUAGCUGGGCUGCAGGCAGAUUUGACCUGAGUCAUCCCCUGCCACAGUUUGUGGGCACCAGAGCUUUGCCGUUGAUUCCAGGGGAGCAACAGUUGGCCUUGGAACAGAGGAAAGCUUUGCGAAUUCUGGGGUUUCCCUUCGCUCUGGAGGAUGGUUAUAUUUGUUUCAGAAGUGUGUGUCUAAGUCUUUCCUACAGUUAUCAAAGGAAAACAGGGCAAAAUAUUACUCUUUGGUCUGAGAGGGAAUUUAAACAAGUAAUUAAAGGCGGAAGGAAUUGAAAGUUUCCUCUUCCCAUCUUGUGGAAGAGGAAAAAGAGCAUUUGGCUGGAAAAUACUGGCACACUUUCAGAAAACCAACCAGAUUAUUAAACAAAAAUUGCAUGUUGUCUUGUACUUUUCCAUAGUUCUCAGAACUGUCUGUGAGAAAGAGGAAUAAGAGCCUGACUUACAACUAAGAUGCAUCUGCAAAAUGAAGACAAAAAACCUGCCCAUGUCAGUCUUCUUGUGAGACUUGAGCGUUGUUUGUGGAGAGGUUUAUGACCUAGAUGUGCUGGAGCAUGAACAAGAGGGGUGUGGUAAGUGUCUCCUGGGUAAGUGACUGUCCAUCAUCAGCUGUCAGCCUUCUAUUACCACUGCAGUAGAAAGCAGGAGGGUCUUCCAGGCCCAGGCAGCAGCCGGGAUGCAAGCAGGAAGGUGUGACUACAGCAGACUGACACUGCACACACAGCAGAAGACACAGCACUGGUGACAUCCUAUCCUUACUGCAACAUGCGUUCUGCAGAGUGACUCAUACAGAGGACAAGGAAGUUGCAGUAAGAUGUCUCCUUGUCCUGCCCAGCAGCGACACCUAACCGUUCUGAGUGCUCCAAGCCCAGGCACCAAGAGAAGAGGACUUGAAACCAUGGCUGGGCCUUCUAUAGAAGUACCUACCUGCUUGUUAAAGUUCAUGCUCUGCUAAGGCGCAACAUGAAUUGCUUGCCAGUCCUGCUGAAGGGGUAUUUACUUGGCUCUGCAAUCCCGUAUCUACUGUAUCCACAAGCACAUCAUCGUCAGUAAACUUUUUUAGGUGAUGAACCUCUUUUCAUUAAGGGGGUACAAGACUGAUGUUUGUAUCAAAAUCAGACAGAUGAUAAUGCAGCGAAGGAUUCUGCUGUGUGAAAUUUUCCUUCCCCUUGAUCUGAGUUCCCCCAUCUAAUACAGUUUUAUGCAAGGUAUGUAAAGGUAUUGUCAACUAUGUUUUUGAGUGUUGUUUGAAGACAAAGUAUUUAGUU